CUGGCGGCGAGUGGCGAACGGGUGAGUAAUACAUCGGAACGUACCCAGAAGUGGGGGAUAACGUAGCGAAAGUUACGCUAAUACCGCAUACGUUCUACGGAAGAAAGUGGGGGAUCGCAAGACCUCAUGCUUUUGGAGCGGCCGAUGUCUGAUUAGCUAGUUGGUGAGGUAAAGGCUCACCAAGGCGACGAUCAGUAGCUGGUCUGAGAGGACGACCAGCCACACUGGAACUGAGACACGGUCCAGACUCCUACGGGAGGCAGCAGUGGGGAAUUUUGGACAAUGGGCGCAAGCCUGAUCCAGCAAUGCCGCGUGAGUGAAGAAGGCCUUCGGGUUGUAAAGCUCUUUUGUCAGGGAAGAAACGGCUGCGGCUAAUAUCUGCGGCUAAUGACGGUACCUGAAGAAUAAGCACCGGCUAACUACGUGCCAGCAGCCGCGGUAAUACGUAGGGUGCAAGCGUUAAUCGGAAUUACUGGGCGUAAAGCGUGCGCAGGCGGUUUUGUAAGUCUGACGUGAAAUCCCCGGGCUCAACCUGGGAAUUGCGUUGGAGACUGCAAGGCUGGAGUCUGGCAGAGGGGGGUAGAAUUCCACGUGUAGCAGUGAAAUGCGUAGAGAUGUGGAGGAACACCGAUGGCGAAGGCAGCCCCCUGGGUCAAGACUGACGCUCAUGCACGAAAGCGUGGGGAGCAAACAGGAUUAGAUACCC
rnacentral:rRNA from 1 species